UUUUUAAAUCUCAGCAAAGGAGAAAGUUAACGCCCAGAGAAGCCAAACAUACAAGAUUAAUGAUCUCCACGUACUGCAGGGAGAAGCCAACACCAGCUGGGGAAUAGGCCUGCCAUGGACAAUGAAGGUGAUGCAGGCAAAGCUGCUGAUGUGUUCAUUCAGGGCUGAAUUUAAAUCAUGGCUGAGGAUUAUACGGGAUCUCUAGGAACCACAUGAUUGGAAGUGCCUACAUCUGUUUCAAGCCUGGGGAGCACCGGUAUGUACAAGCUAAUCGCUCAGGGAGGGACAAUUGAGGGUUGACAGGAAAUCUUGGUUCCUCUCUGUUCCCUUACCUGUCCAAACAGAGAGAGAGGAGGACAGAAACUUAUCUCUGCUGCAUUCUUCAGUUCCUGUCAUUCUAUCUCAAAGAAGCCUGGGGGUCUUCAGAAGGUUCUGACUGUUUCUCAUUCUCUGGGCUGGAGACUACUCUAAAGACGUGCAUAUAAAUGUGUCUUUCUCACAACCAUGUAGUUGCCAGAUGUGGAAAUGCUGUUUGGUGACAUUUAUCAAGUACAGAACAACAAAAAAUAAUACGUUCCUUGCAAAAAAAAAAUAAAUUAAGAAGUUGGACUAGAUGACGUCUCCUCCCUCUCUAAAUUCUAUGAAGAGCUCUUUCAUCUUGCUGUACUCUGGUGUCUUACCUCUCCCUAAAGCCAUCAAGGUCAUCUUCAAAAAAGCCCUCACUUGGUCCAUGCAUUCCCUGUGGCCGUCACUCUUUUGUGGUGAAACUCCUUGGAAAGUCCUCUACAACAGGCACCUCCACUUCCUUUCCUCUCACUAUCUCCUUAACUCUCUGUGAUCUGUCUUCCAACCUUAUCAUUCCACUGAAACCGCUCUUUCCAAGGUUUCUAAUGAUCUUGAUUGCCAAAUCCAUUGACCUUUCCUCAGUCCUCAUUGUUCUUGGCUUCUCUGCAGACUUCGAUACUGUUGGCCAUCCUCUUCUCCUUGGUUUUCUCUUCUUUCUAGGUUUUCAUGACACUGCUCUCUCUUGGCUCUCCUCCUGCCUGUCUGACCAUUCUUUCUUGGUCUUCUUUGCUGGAUCUUCUUGUGGAAGAAUACAUGGUCAAUACAUGGGUGUCCCCUAAGGCUCAACCCUGGGCCUUCUUCUUUGUUCCUCUAUACUAUUUCCCAUGGUGAUUUUAUCAAAUCCCAUUGAUUCAAUUACCGUCUCCAUGCAGAUGAUUCUCAGGGAUCAAUUUGCCCAGCCCUAACCUCUCUCCUGACCUCCAUAUCUCACAUAUGACUGCCUAUUGGACAUCUUAAACUGGACGUCCCAUAGAUUUCCUAAACUCAGCACGUGCAAAACUGAACUCAUUGUCUUUUCUAUCAAACGCUUCUCUCUUCCUAACUUCCCGAUUACUGUUGAAGUCACCACCAUCCUUUCAGUCACCUUCCAGGAUGAUCCUUGACUCCUCACUGUUUCUCACCCUGUCACACACCCCCUAUCCAAUAAGUUGCCAAGUUCUGUCCUUUCUAUAUUUGCAACAUCUCCCAUAUACACCCCCAUCUCUUCUCCAAUGCUGCCACCACUGGUGCAGGCCCUUAGCACCUCAAGCCUGGACAAUUGCAGCAGCUUGCUGGUGGUCUUCGUACCUCAAAUGUCUCUCUACUCCAGUUUAUCUUCCAUUGAGCUAUUAGAUUGAUCUUCCUAAAGUGCCGGUUUCAUUAUGUCACUCCCCUAUUCAGUAAAUUCCAGCGGCUCGCCUAUCACCUCUAAGAUGUAAAAUGUAAAAUCCUCUUUGACUUUUAAGCUCCUUCAUCAUCCGGCCCCUUCCUAACUUUCCAGUCUUCUUACACCUUUCUCCCUUCCAUAUACUUUAUGAUCCAAUGAUACUGGCCCUCCUGGCGGUCCUUUACAUAACAUACUCCCAUCUCUGGGCAUUUGUAGCUGUCCCCCAUGCCCAGAACCCUUUCCCUCUUCAACUCUGUCUCCUAGCUCAAAUGGCCUCCUUCCGUUCUCAGCUAAAGUCUCACCUUCUAUAAGGAGUCUUGCUCAGUCCUCCUUAAUUUUAACACCUUCACUUUGAGAUUUUCUUUAAUUUAUCCUAUCUCUAUCCUAUUUAUACACAGUUGUUGGCAUAUUUUCUCCCCUAUUAGACGGUGAGCUC